AGGUUAACCGAAUAGGGGAGCCGUAGGGAAACCGAGUCUUAAUAGGGCGCAUUAGUUGCUGGGUAUAGACCCGAAACCAGGUGAUCUAUCCAUGAGCAGGUUGAAGGUUGGGUAACACUAACUGGAGGACCGAACCCACUGUCGUUGAAAAGCCAGGGGAUGACUUGUGGAUAGGGGUGAAAGGCUAAUCAAACUUGGUGAUAGCUGGUUCUCCCCGAAAGCUAUUUAGGUAGCGCCUCGGACGAAUACCAUUGGGGGUAGAGCACUGUUUCGGCUAGGGGGUCAUCCCGACUUACCAAACCGAUGCAAACUCCGAAUACCAAUGAGUACUAUCCGGGAGACAGACUGCGGGUGCUAACGUCCGUAGUCAAGAGGAAAACAAUCCAGACCGCCAGCUAAGGCCCCAAAAUUAUAGUUAAGUGGGAAACGAUGUGGGAAGGCAUAGACAGCUAGGAGGUUGGCUUAGAAGCAGCCACCCUUUAAAGAAAGCGUAAUAGCUCACUAGUCGAGUCGGCCUGCGCGGAAGAUGUAACGGGGCUAAAACUAUAUGCCGAAGCUGCGGAUGCAUAAUUUAUUAUGCGUGGUAGGGGAGCGUUCUGUAAGCCGAUGAAGGUGGAUUGAGAAGUCUGCUGGAGGUAUCAGAAGUGCGAAUGCUGACGUGAGUAACGACAAUGCGAGUGAAAAACUCGCACGCUGAAAGACCAAGGGUUCCAGUCCAACGUUAAUCGGGGCUGGGUGAGUCGACCCCUAAGGCGAGGCCGAGAGGCGUAGUCGAUGGGAAAUUGGUUAAUAUUCCAAUACUUCUGUGUAAUGCGAUGAGAGGACGGAGAAGGUUAAGUCAGCCUGGCGUUGGUUGUCCAGGUGAAAGGUUGUAGGCAUGCAUCUUAGGCAAAUCCGGGGUGCUCUAUGCUGAGAACUGAUAGCAAGCUGUACUUGUACAGUGAAGUGGCUGAUACCAUGCUUCCAGGAAAAGUCUCUAAGCUUCAGUUACACAGGAAUCGUACCCGAAACCGACACAGGUGGUCAGGUCGAGUAGACCAAAGCGCUUGAGAGAACUCUGCUGAAGGAACUAGGCAAAAUGGUACCGUAACUUCGGGAGAAGGUACGCUGCUUUUGGUGAUGGAACUUGCUUCCUGAGCUGAGAGCAGCCACAGAAACCAGGCCCCUGCAACUGUUUAUUAAAAACAUAGCACUCUGCAAACACGAAAGUGGACGUAUAGGGUGUGAUGCCUGCCCGGUGCUGGAAGGUUAAUUGAUGGGGUUAGCGUAAGCGAAGCUCUUGAUCGAAGCCCCAGUAAACGGCGGCCGUAACUAUAACGGUCCUAAGGUAGCGAAAUUCCUUGUCGGGUAAGUUCCGACCUGCACGAAUGGCAUAAUGAUGGGGGCGCUGUCUCCAGCAGAGACUCAGUGAAAUCGAAUUCGCCGUGAAGAUGCGGUGUACCCGCGGCUAGACGGAAAGACCCCGUGAACCUUUACUGCAGCUUGACAUUGAACUUUGAUCUUACUUGUGUAGGAUAGGUGGGAGGCUUUGAAACCGAGACGCUAGUUUCGGUGGAGCCAAUCUUGAAAUACCACCCUGGUAAUAUUGAGGUUCUAACUCUGCUCCAUGAUCUGGAGCGAGGACCAUGUCUGGUGGGUAGUUUGACUGGGGCGGUCUCCUCCUAAAGAGUAACGGAGGAGUACGAAGGUGCGCUCAGCGUGGUCGGAAAUCACGCGUAGAGUAUAAAGGCAAAAGCGCGCUUAACUGCGAGACCCACAAGUCGAGCAGGUACGAAAGUAGGUCUUAGUGAUCCGGUGGUUCUGUAUGGAAGGGCCAUCGCUCAACGGAUAAAAGGUACUCUGGGGAUAACAGGCUGAUACCGCCCAAGAGUUCAUAUCGACGGCGGUGUUUGGCACCUCGAUGUCGGCUCAUCUCAUCCUGGGGCUGAAGCAGGUCCCAAGGGUAUGGCUGUUCGCCAUUUAAAGAGGUACGCGAGCUGGGUUUAGAACGUCGUGAGACAGUUCGGUCCCUAUCUACCGUGGGCGUUGGAAAUUUGAGAGGAUCUGCUCCUAGUACGAGAGGACCAGAGUGGACGAACCUCUGGUGUACCGGUUGUGACGCCAGUCGCAUCGCCGGGUAGCUAUGUUCGGAAGGGAUAACCGCUGAAAGCAUCUAAGCGGGAAGCCUACCUCAAGAUAAGAUUUCCC
rnacentral:rRNA from 1 species